AACGAACGCUGGCGGCAUGCCUAACACAUGCAAGUCGAACGAGACCUUCGGGUCUAGUGGCGCACGGGUGCGUAACGCGUGGGAACCUGCCCUUAGGUUCGGAAUAACUCCCCGAAAGGGGUGCUAAUACCGGAGAAUGUCUUCGGACCAAAGAUUGAUCGCCUUUGGAUGGGCCCGCGUUGGAUUAGCUAGUUGGUAGGGUAAAAGCCUACCAAGGCGACGAUCCAUAGCUGGUCUGAGAGGAUGAUCAGCCACACUGGGACUGAGACACGGCCCAGACUACUACGGGAGGCAGCAGUGGGGAAUAUUGGAAAAUGGGCGAAAGCAUGAUCCAGCACUGACGCGUGAGUGAUGAAGGCCGUAGGGUUGUAAAGCUAUUUUACACGGGAUGAUAAUGACAGUACCGGGAGAAUAAGCUCCGGCUAACUCCGUG
rnacentral:rRNA from 1 species